rnacentral:rRNA from 1 species
UGAGGAACAUGACCUUCGGCGGGAGAUAGCCGGCCCAACGGCCGGGUAAUACCGCGUACGACCACUUUGGGACAUCCCUAGGUGGUGAAAGCAGCAAUGCGCCGAUGGAGUGCCUCGCGGCCUAUCAGCUAGUUGGUGAGGUAACGGCUCACCAAGGCAACGACGGGUAGCUGGUCUGAGAGGAUGGCCAGCCACAUUGGGACUGAGACACGGCCCAGACUCCUAGGGACGG